rnacentral:rRNA from 1 species
UACAGAGGGCUCAAGCGUUGUUCGGAUUCAUUGGGCGUAAAGGGUGUGUAGGUGGCGCGGUAAGUCGGGUGUGAAAUUUCGGAGCUUAACUCCGAAACUGCAUUCGAUACUGCGGUGCUUGAGGACUGGAGAGGAGACUGGAAUUCAUGGUGUAGCAGUGAAAUGCGUAGAGAUCAUGAGGAAGACCAGUGGCGAAGGCGGGUCUCUGGACAGUUCCUGACACUGAGACACGAAGGCCAGGGGAGCAAACGGG